rnacentral:lncRNA from 1 species
AACUAUUGGGAAUUGAUGUAGCAAACAAGGAAAGAGCUACUGCAAAAAGGGAAGUUGCCGUUAUAUUUAAAUAAGGAAGCGAAAUGACUGUAGCAAACGAGGAAGAAAAUCUUCCUAAAAGGAAGAUGCCGUCGAUCAAGGAAAGGAUCAACAUCUCAUAAGCAAAUAAGGAACCCCAUGAUUUUGGAAAAUCAAAUCUACCUGGAUGAAAUAAAAGAUUCAACGCAAUCCCUAGUGGACGAGUAAUUCCUGUCACUGAAGAUAAUUGAUAGCGAAAGAUCUGGACAACAAUCAAGACUGGAAGGCCCAAUAAUCAAGGAAGAACUUUGUCAAAUCAUAUCUCCAGCCAAAGGGAAAGGAUCUGAAUUGAAG